AGAGUUUGAUCCUGGCUCAGGACGAACGCUAGCGGGAGGCCUAACACAUGCAAGUCGAACGGGAUUGAGAGCUUGCUCUCAUGAGAGUGGCGCACGGGUGAGUAACGCGUAUGCAACCUACCUUUAACUGAGGGAUAGCCCAUAGAAAUGUGGAUUAAUACCUCAUAGUUCUAUUAGAUCGCAUGAUUUGAUAGAUAAAGCUCCGGCGGUUAAAGAUGGGCAUGCGUGACAUUAGUUUGUUGGUGAGGUAACGGCUCACCAAGACUACGAUGUCUAGGGGUUCUGAGAGGAUGAUCCCCCACACUGGUACUGAGACACGGACCAGACUCCUACGGGAGGCAGCAGUGAGGAAUAUUGGUCAAUGGGCGCAAGCCUGAACCAGCCAUCCCGCGUGCAGGAUGAAGGCCCUAUGGGUCG
rnacentral:rRNA from 1 species